rnacentral:tRNA from 1 species
GGAAGGGCAAGCCAACGGGCGAUGGCACCCGCUUCGAAAGCGGACGAGCUUCACAGCCUUGAGGGUUCGACUCCCUCUCCUUCCG